AGAGUUUGAUCCUGGCUCAGGAUGAACGCUGGCGGCGUGCUUAACACAUGCAAGUCGAACGGUGAACACGGAGCUUGCUCUGUGGGAUCAGUGGCGAACGGGUGAGUAACACGUGAGCAACCUGCCCCUGACUCUGGGAUAAGCGCUGGAAACGGCGUCUAAUACUGGAUACGAGUAGCGAUCGCAUGGUCAGUUACUGGAAAGAUUUUUUGGUUGGGGAUGGGCUCGCGGCCUAUCAGCUUGUUGGUGAGGUAAUGGCUCACCAAGGCGUCGACGGGUAGCCGGCCUGAGAGGGUGACCGGCCACACUGGGACUGAGACACGGCCCAGACUCCUACGGGAGGCAGCAGUGGGGAAUAUUGCACAAUGGGCGCAAGCCUGAUGCAGCAACGCCGCGUGAGGGAUGACGGCCUUCGGGUUGUAAACCUCUUUUAGCAGGGAAGAAGCGAAAGUGACGGUACCUGCAGAAAAAGCGCCGGCUAACUACGUGCCAGCAGCCGCGGUAAUACGUAGGGCGCAAGCGUUAUCCGGAAUUAUUGGGCGUAAAGAGCUCGUAGGCGGUUUGUCGCGUCUGCUGUGAAAUCCCGAGGCUCAACCUCGGGCCUGCAGUGGGUACGGGCAGACUAGAGUGCGGUAGGGGAGAUUGGAAUUCCUGGUGUAGCGGUGGAAUGCGCAGAUAUCAGGAGGAACACCGAUGGCGAAGGCAGAUCUCUGGGCCGUAACUGACGCUGAGGAGCGAAAGGGUGGGGAGCAAACAGGCUUAGAUACCCUGGUAGUCCACCCCGUAAACGUUGGGAACUAGUUGUGGGGUCCAUUCCACGGAUUCCGUGACGCAGCUAACGCAUAAGUCCCGC
rnacentral:rRNA from 1 species